rnacentral:rRNA from 1 species
GAUGAACGCUGGCGGCGUGCCUAACACAUGCAAGUCGAGCGAUUUACUUCGGUAAAGAGCGGCGGACGGGUGAGUAACGCGUGGGUAACCUGCCCUGUACACACGGAUAACAUACCGAAAGGUAUGCUAAUACGAGAUAAUAUGCUUUUAUCGCAUGGUAGAAGUAUCAAAGCUUUUGCGGUACAGGAUGGACCCGCGUCUGAUUAGCUAGUUGGUGAGGUAACGGCUCACCAAGGCGACGAUCAGUAGCCGACCUGAGAGGGUGAUCGGCCACAUUGGAACUGAGACACGGUCCAAACUCCUACGGGAGGCAGCAGUGGGGAAUAUUGCACAAUGGGCGAAAGCCUGAUGCAGCAACGCCGCGUGAGCGAUGAAGGCCUUCGGGUCGUAAAGCUCUGUCCUCAAGGAAGAUAAUGACGGUACUUGAGGAGGAAGCCCCGGCUAACUACGUG